AUGAACCAAACAUGGCCUGAACUCAAUGAUAUGUAUGGCGGAGGACUCACCUAUCUGAUAAAUUGCUUUUCUGUAAAAAAUCUAAAACUCCUUCGUAUAUCUUGGCACUCGGUUAUUUUCCACAUAUAUCUUUUUGUAGUAUUGUUUACUUCAUAUAUGUUGAUGUCUAAAAGUUUCACAAAAUUUAGGAUAAUUUUACUAUAUAUUAUACUCCAUCCAUUUUUAUAUACAAGACCACAAACUCAGAUUGCAGGUACCAAUGUAAAAUUUAAUGUGUGCUUUGCAAGUUGGUUUUUUUUCGUUUACUGGGAUCAUUAA
rnacentral:rRNA from 1 species